UCCGGCUUAUCACCGGCAGUCCCUCUAGAGUGCCCAACUAAAUGAUGGCAACUAAAGGCGAGGGUUGCGCUCGUUGCGGGACUUAACCCAACAUCUCACGACACGAGCUGACGACAGCCAUGCAGCACCUGUGUUACGGUUCCCUUUCGGGCACACCUCCAUCUCUGGAGGCUUCCGUACAUGUCAAGGGUAGGUAAGGUUUUUCGCGUUGCAUCGAAUUAAUCCACAUAAUCCACCGCUUGUGCGGGUCCCCGUCAAUUCCUUUGAGUUUUAGCCUUGCGGCCGUACUCCCCAGGCGGGGUGCUUAAUGCGUUUGCGACGGCACGGAGGGGGUUGAUGCCCCCCACACCUAGCACCCAACGUUUACGGCGUGGACUAC
rnacentral:misc_RNA from 1 species